rnacentral:rRNA from 1 species
AUGGAUAAAAAGGAGGAGGUUUGGUUAUUAGCAUAUACCUGGAGACACCCAAAGGCCUUGCUGCCGCAGUAUGCGGAACCGAAGGGCGACAUCAUGAAGGCUGGAGCUAUUGAAUUCACCAGCAUGAGUGCUUCUCAAUGUGGAGUCAAUUUGUUCAUGAAAAUGAUGAUCUACACUCAGGUGUUGGAGUGUGUCUACAAGGUUCAGUUGCUCAACUAUGCUAGGCGAACCAACAAAGCUGAAAGCCAACAAACAGAAUCCAGGCAUAUCUCAACAAGGGCUCCAGACCAGAUGCUGUUGUUACUGCUGUAA